ACGGGUGAGUAACGCGUGGGAAUCUACCCAUCUCUACGGAAUAACGCAUGGAAACGUGUGCUAAUACCGUAUACGUCCUUCGGGAGAAAGAUUUAUCGGAGAUGGAUGAGCCCGCGUUGGAUUAGCUAGUUGGUGGGGUAAAGGCCUACCAAGGCGACGAUCCAUAGCUGGUCUGAGAGGAUGAUCAGCCACACUGGGACUGAGACACGGCCCAGACUCCUACGGGAGGCAGCAGUGGGGAAUAUUGGACAAUGGGCGCAAGCCUGAUCCAGCCAUGCCGCGUGAGUGAUGAAGGCCCUAGGGUUGUAAAGCUCUUUCACCGGUGAAGAUAAUGACGGUAACCGGAGAAGAAGCCCCGGCUAACUUCGUGCCAGCAGCCGCGGUAAUACGAAGGGGGCUAGCGUUGUUCGGAUUUACUGGGCGUAAAGCGCACGUAGGCGGACUAUUAAGUCAGGGGUGAAAUCCCGGGGCUCAACCCCGGAACUGCCUUUGAUACUGGUAGUCUUGAGUUCGAGAGAGGUGAGUGGAAUUCCGAGUGUAGAGGUGAAAUCCGUAGA
rnacentral:rRNA from 1 species